AGGGGAGUGCAGUACACUGCUCUGAAUGUACCUACGUUUUGCGUUGAGAUGUUUUGUAGCGUCUUAAAUAGUAACGUGGCUCUCAGUAUGUACAUUUUACCUUUUUUAUUGGAUAAUAUUUUUUGUCACUGAAACUGCGAUAAUUUAGCACGUGCAUAUAUUGUAGUCCUCUUAUAGAUUGUUUUCAAAUUACAGUAAACUGUCCUAGACCUGAUCCCAUCGGGUGUGAUGGCAGAGGAGCGGAUGAGAGAGCCAGCUGCUUUGGAUGAACUGCCACCAAUGUACAGCAUUCUGAACGGAGAGGUAGUUUCUGUGACAACUUAUGGUGCUUUUGUUAAGAUUCCAGGAUACAAAAAACAAGGUCUGGUUCAUAAGAGUGAGAUGUCGUCCUGUCGGGUGGAGAACCCAGCUGAAAUUGUUGAUGUAGGGGAACAAGUGUGGAUAAAAGUCAUUGGCAGGGAGAUGAAAGAUGAUAAAGUAAAACUGUCAUUCUCUAUGAAAUCUGUCAAUCAAGGCACUGGGCGGGACCUAGACCCCAACAAUGUUAUAGCAGAACAGGACGAACGUCGCCGGAGACAGUUUAGAGAUCAUACUGAGCAGAAGAUCACGCAGAAGAUCACGCUGAAAUACACGCUGGUCACUUUGCAAAAGACUGCUUCUCCCAGCCUGGACUGCAGUACAGUUUAGUGCCAGAAGAAGAAGAGGAGGAGCAGCCGCUACAGACCAGUCAGCAAACCCAAUCAGAGCCACAGAAACGUAAAAAGGAAAAGAAGGCUAAGAAAGACAAGAAGAGAAAGAAAGAGAAGAAAAGAGACAGCUCUUCAUCCGAUAGCAGCGACGAAGUUACCAAACGGCCACGGCAUUCACACACACAUUAAGAAAAGAAGAAAAAACACAAGAAACAUAAGACAAAGUGAUUCUUUUGGUUUGCAAAAUAGUUGCAAUAUGCAAGUACAAGCUUGUGCAAGAAAAGUUUUUUUUUUUUUUUGCAUGUAUAUCAAGAUUUAUCUGAUCGUUUUUGGAAUGUAUUUUUUGUUAAUGAUUAAAAGUUUGACCAUUUAAAA